rnacentral:rRNA from 1 species
AUUGCCCCAGUAACGGCGAGUGAAGCGGCAACAGCUCAAAUUUGAAAUCUGGCCCUCGGGUCCGAAUUGUAAUUUGUAGAGGAUACUUUUGGCGAGGUGCCUUCCGAGUUCCCUGGAACGGGACGCCAUAGAGGGUGAGAGCCCCGUCUGGUCGGAUACCAAGCCUCUGUAAAGUUCCUUCGACGAGUCGAGUAGUUUGGGAAUGCUGCUCAAAAUGGGAGGUAUAUGUCUUCUAAAGCUAAAUAUUGGCCAGAGACCGAUAGCGCACAAGUAGAGUGAUCGAAAGAUGAAAAGCACUUUGAAAAGAGGGUUAAAAAGUACGUGAAAUUGUUGAAAGGGAAGCGCCUAUGACCAGACUUGGGCCCGGUGAAUCAUCCAGCGUUCUCGCUGGUGCACUUUGCCGGGCACAGGCCAGCAUCAGUUUGGCGCGGGGGAUAAAGGCUUUGGGAAUGUGGCUCCCUCGGGAGUGUUAUAGCCCAUUGCGUAAUACCCUGCGCCGGACUGAGGUACGCGCAUUGCAAGGAUGCUGGCGUAAUGGUCAUCAGCGACCCGUCUUGAAACACGGACCAAGGAGUCGUCUUCGUAUGCGAGUGUUCGGGUGUCAAACCCCUACGCGUAAUGAAAGUGAACGCAGGUGAGAGCUUCGGCGCAUCAUCGACCGAUCCUGAUGUUCUCGGAUGGAUUUGAGUAAGAGCAUACGGGGCCGGACCCGAAAGAAGGUGAACUAUGCCUGUAUAGGGUGAAGCCAGAGGAAACUCUGGUGGAGGCUCGCAGCGGUUCUGACGUGCGAAUCGAUCGUCAAAUAUGGGCAUGGGGGCGAAAGACUAAUCGAACCUUCUAGUAGCUGGUUUCCGCCGAAGUUUCCCUCAGGAUAGCAGUGUUGAACUCAGUUUUAUGAGGUAAAGCGAAUGAUUAGGGACUCGGGGGCGCUAUAUUGCCUUCAUCCAUUCUCAAACUUUAAAUAUGUAAGAAGCCCUUGUUACUUAAUUGAACGUGGGCAUUCGAAUGUAUCAACACUAGUGGGCCAUUUUUGGUAAGCAGAACUGGCGAUGCGGGAUGAACCGAACGCGAGGUUAAGGUGCCGGAGUGGACGCUCAUCAGACACCACAAAAGGUGUUAGUACAUCUUGACAGCAGGACGGUGGCCAUGGAAGUCGGAAUCCGCUAAGGACUGUGUAACAACUCACCUGCCGAAUGUACUAGCCCUGAAAAUGGAUGGCGCUCAAGCGUCCCACCCAUACCUCGCCCUCAGGGUAGAAACGAAGCCCUGAGGAGUAGGCGGACGUGGAGGUCAGUGACGAAGCCUAGGG